UUCUUUUCACUUGCAGAGAGCCGAUCCAGAUUAAGCACAACACAUUCUGUACUUAAAUGUUGUACAACUCCUUACAGCAGUUACUGAAGAAGAAAUUACUAUGCUACGGCAAGCUAGCUAAUUCAGAAACUUCCAAUUUAUGAUGUCAAGACUUAUAAGCCACUGUUAGCGUGAGAUGGUACAUUGUUUCCCAAAUCCCCUAAACGAAGUUUGGAAAGGGAAUUGAAUUCAUUCGUGAGGGCUGCUGCCCUUUUUCAAGCACAGCUUUUGGUCAACUUAGGUCCUCGACUAUAAAACAGAUGCAAAUGGAGUAAAGGACCAAAUUGGUCCUCCAUAGCCACAAGACCUUGCAUUCUCAAGCAUCAAAAUUCUCAUUCUGUUGUCCCAGUGAGACUUCUGUCAAAUUAUAUUCCAAAUUCAAAGAGGUAAUAGUAAAAUGUUCAAAGGUUGGAACCCAUUGCAGCAAGCUAAACUUAAGGGAGGGACUAAGAGAUCGAGAUUUGUGGUGUUAUGUUGCAUACUGGAGUUUGACGCUGGAUCUUUUUUCAGCCAUUGAUCACUGACAGCUGCCAGUUGAGACCAGGGGCGGAUCUACACUAUAAGUGGGGCGGGCUACAGCUCGUCUGAGAUUUUUGGGCUUCAAAAAAAAAUUAGAUGUAUACUUUUUUUUUUUUUAGUUGUGUAUUGUCCAGCCCAAGCCCGUCGUAAUUGAGUAAUUCCUAAACCCACUCCAGUUCACUCGACUAGUCGACUUCGAGUCUUCGACUACGCUCCAGCCUCCAGUUCAUCUAAUUGUCUCUCCUCGGCUCCUCCAGUCCUCCUCCUCCUCUAAACUUUUGCAGCUCUGGCAUUCUCGGCUUCUCCACUUCUCUCAGAGAUCAAGACACCAACAUCAAUUUGGGGCAAUGAUUCAAUGUUGUAUUGGAUUGAAGAUUUCGUGGAUUGAAGAAUGAAGGUUGCGGACUUGCGGUCAAUUUCUCUUGGUCUGGAAAUCUGGUUGGAUAUGAUAAGUGAAUGACACUUGAUUCUAUGAGGUGGAACUACGAACUGGAACACAAAGGGAUGAAGUGAAUGGCAAAAGCUUGAGUCUACUGCUUUCCGAGAAAUCCAGCCCGUCCAAGGUUUCAAUCCUGGAUCCGCCCCUGGUUGAGACUUGAGAGUAUUGGCAGGUAAUGAGGUAAUUCACAUGCUAGACGGCAAUGCUAAGGCUGCAUGUUGACUGUGGUGAGAUUUUAGAAGCUUAAAGUGAGAUUUCUCCGAACGAAGUUGAGAAAACGCAGGAGGCUUUAGUAUUGAUCAUGAUUGAGCAAACUUAUUUUGUAGAUGCAGUCUCUUGAUUGUGACUUUGGGUGAUUUCCGGUCCUGUGCUUAAAAGGAGACAGUAAAGAGAUUAUUUGGUAGUGUAUGUGAGAAAGAAUUUGUUUCUUAUCAUUGUAGUUUUUUCUCAUGAAACCUCGGACAACUUCCAAAAGCCCUUCACAGCUAGCUAGCUGCCAUGACAAUUGGAAGCUUCGUGGUAUUUUCACUUAUCGAUUGUGCCUAGAUCUAUUAAUUUGAAGGGUGAGAUGUGGUAAGAAAGAUCAUCAUCCGUUAUCUAUU